GACGAACGCUGGCGGCGUGCUUAACACAUGCAAGUCGAACGGAAAGGCCCUGCUUUUGUGGGGUGCUCGAGUGGCGAACGGGUGAGUAACACGUGAGUAACCUGCCCUUGACUUUGGGAUAACUUCAGGAAACUGGGGCUAAUACCGGAUAGGAGCUCCUGCUGCAUGGUGGGGGUUGGAAAGUUUCGGCGGUUGGGGAUGGACUCGCGGCUUAUCAGCUUGUUGGUGGGGUAGUGGCUUACCAAGGCUUUGACGGGUAGCCGGCCUGAGAGGGUGACCGGCCACAUUGGGACUGAGAUACGGCCCAGAGUCAUACGGGAGGCAGCAGUGGGGAAUAUUGCACAAUGGGCGGAAGCCUGAUGCAGCAACGCCGCGUGCUGGAUGACGGCCUUCGGGUUGUAAACCGCUUUCGCCUGUGACGAAGCGUGAGUGACGGUAAUGGGUAAAGAAGCAACGGCUAACUACGUG
rnacentral:rRNA from 1 species